UUUUAUACACAUGGCAAAAUUGGAAUGCAGUCCUCAAAUCUUUUUAAUGAGACUGAUUAAACUUCCAUUGUGCUAAUCGUGGGACGCUACAACCUACGUUGCGAAUAAUACAGUAUCCGGAUUUCUCAUUUUUAAUCGUUUUGGCUAGAACAUUGGCUAUACCAGAAGGUUUGCCUGCAUUCAAAUUGAAAUUUCCGGUCGUGACGAAUCCUAUAAUAGCCGUCUCGUUUGGACACUUUGGGUAAAGCAAAUUUUCAGCAGUGAGAUUUUCUUUAUAAAUGAUGGUCUUCCAUUUACUAAGUUCAUCGUCACUAAGACAAUAAAUUCGAGCCCGAUCUUGCAGGCUACCUCUUUGCACCAACUGUACUUGAACACGUACUAGCUGCAGAGUUUUAUCUUCAUCUCGUGAAGCCUUAACCAUCUCGUUUAGAUAAACCCAAUCACAACAAAACGGGUUACCUAUUUCUGAAAAAUUAUCUCCGAAUUUUUGAUAAUUUACGCGUUUGGCAGGUGGACGUCUUUUCCAGCUAUCUUCAUUUCGUUUUUUUCUUUCCUCUUCGCAAAGUUGCCCACUAAUCGUAUCUGGAUAAUCAAUCGGAAAGAAAGGCAUUCUUUUUUCAAACGCAAUUUGGUGCAAAUUUUCUAAUCCGCCAAAACGUAUUCCUUUUUGAUACAUCAUCUUCCUCCAUACAAACUUGGCAUAAUCCCAAGGCAAAAUAACAGUGAGUCCGUUCCAUUCUUUUCUAUACGUAAUAUACA